rnacentral:rRNA from 1 species
CCCUUAGAUGUUCUGGGCCGCACGCGCGCUACACUGAUGCAUUCAACGAGUCUAAAACCUGCUCUGAUAGGGGUGGGUAAUCUUUUGAAUGUGCAUCGUGAUUGGGAUAGAUGAUUGCAAUUUUUCAUCUUCAACGAGGAAUGCCUAGUAAACGCAAGUCAUCAGCUUGCAUUGAUUACGUCCCUGCCCUUUGUACACACCGCCCGUCGCUCCUACCGAUUGAACGAUCCGAUGAAAACUGUGGAUUGAGAGUCUGAGUGGGUUCGCCUACCUCAACUUUCGAGAAGCGGUUUAAAUCUUAUCGUUUAGAGGAAGGAGAAGUCGUAACA